AUUACUUUGGCAGAUUAGUGUAAUGAAUUUAGAUUUCAUUAAUGUAAAUAAAUUUACAAGUAAUA
rnacentral:tRNA from 2 species